AGCAGCCGCCACGGGAAUACGUAGGGUGCAAGCGUUAAUCGGGAUUACUGGGCGUAAAGCGUGCGCAGGCGGUUCUAUAAGACAGAUGUGAAAUCCCCGGGCUCAACCUGGGAACUGCAUUUGUGACUGUAGAGCUGGAGUGCGGCAGAGGGGGAUGGAAUUCCGCGUGUAGCAGUGAAAUGCGUAGAUAUGCGGAGGAACACCGAUGGCGAAGGCAAUCCCCUGGGCCUGCACUGACGCUCAUGCACGAAAGCGUGGGGAGCAAACAGGAUUAGAUACCCCCGUAGUCCCUGUCUCUUAUAC
rnacentral:rRNA from 1 species